rnacentral:rRNA from 1 species
GACGAACGCUGGCGGCGUGCUUAACACAUGCAAGUCGAGCGGUAAGGCCCUUUCGGGGGUACGACGAGCGGCGAACGGGUGAGUAACACGUGGGUGGACCUGCCCUCCAGCUCUGGGAGUAAGCCUCGGGAAACCGGGUACUAAUACCGGAUAUGACUCCAUGACGCAUGUUGUGGGGUGGAAAGCCUUGUGCGGCUGAGGAUGGGCCCGCGGCCUAUCAGCUUGUUGGUGGGGUGAUGGCCUACCAAGGCGACGACGGGUAGCCGGCCUGAGAGGGCGACCGGCCACACUGGGACUGAGACACGGCCCAGACUCCUACGGGAGGCAGCAGUGGGGAAUCUUGCGCAAUGGGCGAAAGCCUGACGCAGCGACGCCGCGUGA